AGCAAUUGGAAGGAAAUAUUACAUUAAUCUUUUCUUUAGUGGGAUGUAUCAUAUAUAAUAUACUAAAUGGAAACAAAAUCGACUGAGAAACAGAGAUAAAGAGGAAAAUACAAGAUGAAGAAAGAUGAGAAUGAGUCGAUCAAAAUGGCAAAGGAUUGGAUACAAAGUCUAGCUCAAGGUCGCCAAGGUCGUGAAAUUGAAACUCAAGCUCUUCAAAGUCUCUACUCUGUUCAUGUCCAGAAAGGCUUAAUUCGAUGCAAUUUCUUAGUACCCAAAAACUUAUCUGAUAGAGAUGGAAAUUGGCAUGUAGGAGCGAUUGCAACUCUAAUUGACAUCGUUGGCGCUUCUGCUAUUGUCACUGUUGUUGGUAACAUCAACGUCUCCGUUGAUUUCAGCAUAUCCUACUUCUCACCGGCAAAGAUUAAUGAGGAAGUAGAGAUUGAGGCUAAAGUAUUGGGACAUAAAGGAAAUCUAUCUUCAAACAUGGUGGUGAUUAAAAACAAAGAAAACGGUGAGUUGAUUGCUGUAGGGAAACAAUGGAUGUCUGCAUUUGAUCUCAAACACAAAAGUAAGCUAUAAUAACGAGUUGUCAGAUGCUCACCGGCAAUUUAAUUGAACAUUUUUAGGUGUUUAUACAAUUGAGCUAAUCAUGAACUCGGAUAUUUAGCCUGCGGAGCCAAAUAGAAUGCAAGGUCAUAUGGAAUACAUCGUACCGUUUAGGUGCGCCAUUGUUUGUAAUGAAAUGUCUUUGAACUUGUUUUACGCUUCUCUGCAGCUUUAUAUAUCUAUCUUCUGGUAUUGUCGUUAAGAUUUUCUUUAAAUUUGGGAUUUCACUGAGCGAAACUUGAAUUGAAAAUGCGUCCCAGUUUAGAACAUCGCUAAAUGGUGGAACGUAGUGGUCUGAAAUGAGAACAGGAACACAUUCUGCGUAAAUAGCUUCGACGACUCUAGGGCUUGCAACUUCAUAACCACUUGGACAAAUGCAGUAUUUGCUCUUCUUCAUCAUGCCAAGGUAGGAUAAUUUUUUUGGGAGAGAAGUAUAAACUUUGAUAUCUUCGUCACCUUUGUCUUUCCAGUAGUUUACGAAUACUGAACGAACGUAACCAUGAAUCUCACCAGCGUAGAAUGCUAGUAGUUUACGCUUAGAAGGCGGUGGACCACCGAUGAAGCUUGUAACAUUAUCUGAUCUAAGAUAGAUUUCAGGAAAUGAUACAUCCCUUGAAGGGUUAAAUCCUUCUGAGGUAUUUGCAUUGCAUAACACCCUUAUGGAGUUGUUGUGUAGAUUCGGAAUGUGAAAUGAUAUCUCCGGUCCCUGAAAGAGAACAUGUUAGUGCCAUCCCAAAACAAUCGAUCAAAAUGAGUUUAGAAAGGUAAUGAGAAGGACUUUGCUGCUUACCCAAUCAUGGCAUGAGAGCAUGAAAUGGAAUGUACAAGUAUGAAACCAUUUUUACAACAGUGAAUGGAAGGAAAUAGACAUGAGCUUCAUCUGGAUUGCAGGUACGAAACCUUGUUUCUUGCUCCAUUUGAUGAAUAAACCUUCCUUCUGUUGAGUAUUUAUUUUUGCACGGACCGUCAUGAAAUAGAGGUGGUUCGCCUUCGUUGUACACGAAGAUCUUGAAUGUCUUCUCCAUUUCUAAGUAACUCCUGUAAUUUAAUUUGCAACCAAAUCUAUCACGGCGCCGAAUGAAAGUGAAAUGCAAGUUUAUUGAUGUAA